GGAAUUACUGGGCGUAAAGGGCUCGUAGGUGGCCAACUAAGUCAGACGUGAAAUCCCUCGGCUUAACCGGGGAACUGCGUCUGAUACUGGAUGGCUUGAGUUUGGGAGAGGGAUGCGGAAUUCCAGGUGUAGCGGUGAAAUGCGUAGAUAUCUGGAGGAACACCGGUGGCGAAGGCGGGUCUCUGGGCAGUAACUGACGCUGAGGAGCGAAAGCGUGGGGAGCGAACAGG
rnacentral:rRNA from 1 species